UUUUUUCAUCAAAGCUUGUAAUUUUAUUAAAACGCCAAAACCAAAUAUUGAAAGCCUUAUCAAGGUGCAAAUAAUUUGCACUGUCCAGUAAGUCUGUAUGACAUUUUGACUUCUUACAUAUUUAUUCCCCACUCAUCAUAAAAAAGACAAUCAAAACAUACAAUUUACAAGAAUUUAACAUAUAACUUACAAGAUUUUUCCAUCAGUAAUACAGGAGCAGCAACGGAUUUAUUCAACUCAAUGUCCUCAUCUUCAUCUUUGCUUUUGUUAGUCGCAAAUACAACACAUGACCGCAACUUGUGAAAUUUUCCAUGCUAUUACUCCUAGCCCCUUAUAUUAAGCCUCUGCCAAUUCUCCAGCACCUUCUUGACCUCCUGAUGUUGCAGAGAAAUAAUUGCACCCUGUAUAUGCGCAGUUACUGACUAAAAUCACUAAUAGCAAUAAUUAUAAGAAUGGAUGAACAUUUUUGCUGCCUUCAGCUAUUUAAGAUAAAAGAUAAUACAUGCUUUACUUUAACGCCACUGAUCCCAUGUCCGCCUUUUUGAGCAUGCUAACAUUUUUUUCCAUCACCGGCCAAUUGCUAGUGUUGCUUUACUUGUUCUCAGUUUCACCAAUCUUGUAACCUGCAUAAUAAAUCUACUUUUAAAUUUAUUUUACUAUAAAAAAAAUAAGAGUUCCCAAAAAGUAGCAAACUCAGGUCCAAAACAUAUUACAUAGAAACUCCUGAGAAAGAUGCAUGCUGAAAUUUGUUAGCUGAAGAAUAUAUCAACAAUGAAUAUAAAAGAAUGAAACCAUACUGUCAACACUAAAUUAAAGUUGAUAUUUUGAAUGCUCACAAAGCUAAACAAGCAACUCGGACAUAUUUCUGUUUUCAAAUCUUAAAGUCCAAAUGAACAUGUUGCAUGUCAAAAUCUAAAUGAAGAAGAAUGACAUAUCACAAACUGCAUAUCAAUGCUAAAUUCAUAAUUGCAUUAGUGAAUAUGUAUCAGAAUUGCCUGCACUGUCUUUUUAAACAGGAAAAAAAUAUCCCAAUUAUAGUAGUCCAAGUCGAAAUAACCAAAGAUGAGCAACAUACAUAAUAAUCUCACGUUGUUUUCAGCAUGCACUAACAUUAAAGCUUUUGAAUGCGCUUUUUUUCAUUGAGUUUCUACUCACCAAAUUAAACAAGGAGAAACAACCAGACUAGUUCUCAGUAAAUUUGCAUAAAAAACCUCUUAUCGGAACAGAAAGAUAUGAACUUGGUCUCACUAGAAUAAAACAAUCACCUGUUUAGAGAGUUUUAAACACACUAUAUAACAUGUACUACCACACUCAAGCUCGGCUCAGAAUUUAACUGAUUUCUAGCUCACUCAAGCUAGUUCUACUGCAAGAUGAGCUAAGACUGAACUGAUAUCAGGGUUUAUGGACAAAUAACAAGUCGGACCAGAACAGCUAAAAGAAUCAAGCUACUUGGCUAAGCUCUAGCUUGUUCAAGCUAAUUUAAGUAUUUUUAAUCAACAAACGGAGCAGGAAUAAAAUUGAAGAUGAGUAGCACGGCUCUAAAACAGCCUAUAGCUAAAGAGGGGGCGGGGGGGGACUUACAUCCAAAGAAAUUACAGACUCACAAUAUAGCAAAGAGCAGAAAGAGAUGCAAAAACGUAUUAAGGACAUUUAAACAGAGCCAAACAAGACACAAACAACUUCAAGCAAAGACACUGCAUAGAAAACAAUUGAUCAAAAAGACAUAUAACGAAAAUGAGAUGCCACCUGAAUAGCUGAGUGUAGGAGCAAAAUUAAUCAACACAAGCUUGCUUGCUUCAAAAAUCCCAGUCCGCAACCCAUGGCUGUCGUCAAUAAAAAAAAAAUGUAAGAUCCAAACUAAAAUUUGUUUUCACUGUAUAGAAGGAAUACUACUAAGAGAACAGAGAUGGAAAAUGGUACCUGGAAACUUGCCCAAGAAUAGCAGGAAUGGAACCCCUAUAUAAUCACUGAACACCAAUUUGUGGAAGUUUUGAUACCAAUUCUGGGAAGGAUAGAAUCGAUGCUUGCAAUCGAGUCUGAUAGACACUGAAUCCAUUAUAGAGUGCCAACCAAUUGGGAAAAGGAAAUGAGGGAAGCAAUAAACUUGGAACAAUUUUAUAGAUAAAAAAUGCUGAAAUGAAAACCACAUAAAAUUUAAAUCAAACACAGAAAUUGUUUGUGUAACAAAAAUGGACAUGUGCGUCAGAACCUAGCUGCCUAAGUGUAGAGACACUGACUCCUUAUAACUGUACCUACUGUGAGACAUGGAGUAUAACAUUGCUAAACUCCAAUUUGCAGUUUUACAUACAAAGUAAAUGAAGAUAUAUCAGUAACGGGGUGCAACAAAAUACUCUCCAAAUCUUUAAUUAGUCAGGCAUAGUAAACCACAGGUCAUGACUACUUCAGAAUUCUUUGGAGAUCCAUAUAAACUAUUUAAUUUCAGCAGAAGCUAUCUAUUGACUUAUCAUAGAGAAUGCAGUUUGCUCAACUGAUGGGGAUUAGAAAUAUUCAAGUUCAUACUGACUUUAAUCAAGCUGCUAGAUACAUCAACAAAACCAGACAACCUACUUUCUUUUAUUGAGUAAAAAUUGGCCACACUAGCCCUUUACAAUCAUAGUUAGAAUCAAUACAUUCCUAGCUAGGACCUGACAACCUACAUGAAAUACAGUCCCUACUAGGCAUCAUCUAGGCCAUUGCUACCAAGUUUGAAGAGUUUCAAUAUACAAUCAUCGAUACUUUGUUGUAAAAAAAUGCAGAAAAAUCCAUAGGUAAAAUGAAAAAGGCAAUGUUGAAAGGGUUUUACAAACCUUUCAAUCCAUGCCAUGUGUGCUUGAAAAUUGCUCUCUAGACAUGCUCAGAUCUGAUACUCAGAAGGAUCCUUGUUUCUCCAUGGCUUCAGUUAAAGAAGAACAUGUUGACUUGCACAUCAGAACACCUUUCCUAAUAUCAAAUGCUGCCCACUUAAUGGAAUCUGUGAAUUUGUAGCAUGGGAAAAAAAAUAUAAAUUGAAGAGAUAACCAGAAUCAAGGGUACUAUUUCAUUACGUGACGUAAAAACAGUGAAACAAGCAAAAGAUAAUUUACGCGCUUUUGGUUGGCGACUUAAUUCAGACGAGGUACUUCAGCUAGAAUGUGCAGGACAUGAGUCUCCUGGAAAGAUGAACCAGAAUAUCCAAAAGAUCAUUCAGA
rnacentral:lncRNA from 1 species